rnacentral:rRNA from 1 species
GACGUAGGGUGCGAGCGUUGUCCGGAUUUAUUGGGCGUAAAGAGCUCGUAGGCGGCUCGUCGCGUCGACCGUGAAAACCCGCGGCUUAACUGCGGGCUUGCGGUCGAUACGGGCAGGCUAGAGUUCGGUAGGGGAGACUGGAAUUCCUGGUGUAGCGGUGAAAUGCGCAGAUAUCAGGAGGAACACCGGUGGCGAAGGCGGGUCUCUGGGCCGAAACUGACGCUGAGGAGCGAAAGCGUGGGGAGCAAACAGG